rnacentral:rRNA from 1 species
UGGGGAAUCUUCCGCAAUGGACGAAAGUCUGACGGAGCAACGCCGCGUGAGUGAUGACGGCCUUCGGGUUGUAAAGCUCUGUUAAUCGGGACGAAUGGUUCUUGUGCGAAUAGUGCGAGGAUUUGACGGUACCGGAAUAGAAAGCCACGGCUAACUACGUGCCAGCAGCCGCGGUAAUACGUAGGUGGCAAGCGUUGUCCGGAAUUAUUGGGCGUAAAGCGCGCGCAGGCGGAUUGGUCAGUCUGUCUUAAAAGUUCGGGGCUUAACCCCGUGAUGGGAUGGAAACUGCCAAUCUAGAGUAUCGGAGAGGAAAGUUGAAUUCCUAGUGUAGCGGUGAAAUGCGUAGAUAUUAGGAAGAACACCAGUGGCGAAGGCGACUUUCUGGACGAAAGCUGACGCUGAGGCGCGAAAGAAAGGGGAGCGAGCGGG